GCCGAAGUGGUGAAAUUGGUAUACACGCACGGUUCAGAGCCGUGUGGCGCAAGCCUUGAGGGUUCGAGUCCCUCCUUCGGCACCA
rnacentral:tRNA from 1 species